UUUGUUUUGAUGAACUGUAUACAUUGUCAUGUUUCAGCCAAGGUGUUUCCCGGACAACUGCAAGUGCCUGGAUUAGCAUUCGAAAAGGACACGGGAAACAAAACAUCGCCGGCAUUUCAACGUGCCGCGGAGCAAAUUUCUGAUCAGAUUGGUGUCCUUUUCAAUGAGAGUUCUGGCUACUUGCGUUCUAUUGUGUUGGAACUCAAGCCAUUUGAAAAUGGAAAAGGACGAGCCGGGGCUGGCGUCGGCGCCUCCGUGGAGAUGGUCUUCCAGACGUCGGCUCGAGUCAAAACACAGGACGUUGUGGGAGCCGUAGCCAAAGCCUCCGAAUGCGUCGCGUGUCUUCUGGCAAAUUCCACAUUCACAUACACGAGUCUGUGUAUGAAGCAACCCUGCGAUGAGAAAACGACGACAUGUUCCGCGGGAGACGAUGGAAAUUUCCUCUGCCGCUGUUCCAAGGCUUACGUCGCGACGGACUACAGUCACAGAGCGUGUGUUGGUAAGUGCAAGAUGUAAAGCCUCGGCCUU